UACGGGAGGCAGCAGUGGGGAAUAUUGCACAAUGGGCGCAAGCCUGAUGCAGCCAUGCCGCGUGUAUGAAAAAGGCCUUCGGGUUGUAAAGUACUUUCAGUCGUGAGGAAGGUGUUAAGGUUAAUAACCUUAGCAAUUGACGUUAGCGACAGAAGAAGCACCGGCUAACUCCGUGCCAGCAGCCGCGGUAAUACGGAGGGUGCGAGCGUUAAUCGGAAUUACUGGGCGUAAAGGGCACGCAGGCGGUUAAUUAAGUUGGAUGUGAAAUCCCCGGGCUUAACCUGGGAAUGGCAUUCAAGACUGGUUAGCUAGAGUCUUGUAGAGGGGGUAGAAUUCCAUGUGUAGCGGUGAAAUGCGUAGAGAUGUGGAGGAAUACCGGUGGCGAAGGCGGCCCCUGGACAAAGACUGACGCUCAUGUGCGAAAGCGUGGGGAGCAAACAGGGAUUAGAUACCCGU
rnacentral:rRNA from 1 species